CUUCUAUGAUGAAUCCUAAUUCAGUUCUGCUUCCGAAAGAGAGAGCAAUCUCCUUGUGGACACUCUGUACCAAAAAACUCAAUUCUGAUUC
rnacentral:snoRNA from 1 species